UAGUCCACGCCGUAAACGAUGAGCACUAGGUUUUGGGGGUAUUGAUCCCUUCAGAACCACAGCUAACGCAUUAAGUGCUCCGCCUGGGGAGUACGGUCGCAAGACUAAAACUCAAAGGAAUUGACGGGGGCCCGCACAAGCGGUGGAUUAUGUGGUUUAAUUCGAAGCAACGCGCAGAACCUUACCAAGACUUGAAAUCCUAGGAAUCCGACGUAAUGGUUGGAGUGCUCGCAAGAGAAUCCAGUGACAGGUGCUGCAUGGCUGUCGUCAGCUCGUGUUGUGAAAUGUUGGGUUAAGUCUCGCAACGAGCGCAACCCCUAUCUUUAGUUGCCAGCAUUAAGUUGGGCACUCUAGAGAGACUGCCCGGGUUAACCGGGAGGAAGGUGGGGAUGACGUCAAGUCCUCAUGGCCCUUAUGUCUUGGGCUACACACGUAAUACAAUGGUGCAUACAGAGGGACGCGAUCGGGUGACCGUUAGCAAAUCUCAAAAAGUGCAUCUCAGUCCGGAUUGG
rnacentral:rRNA from 1 species